rnacentral:pre_miRNA from 1 species
AUGAGAUGAAAUUAGUAUUUGGACAUUCGAUUUAACACUGAUUUCAUCUCAUGA